CGUAGGGUAGAGCAGUCCGGUAGCUCACUUGGCUCAUAACCAAGAGGUCACAGGUUCGAAUCCUGUCCCUGCAA
rnacentral:tRNA from 1 species